rnacentral:tRNA from 1 species
ACUUAUAUAGCUUAUAUUAAGAGCGUUGUGUUGAAGCCGCAAAGGAAACAGUUAUGUUUGUAAGUA